CCUACGGGUGGCAGCAGUGAGGAAUAUUGGUCAAUGGGCUCACGUCUGAACCAGCCAAGCCGCGUGAGGGAAGACUGCUCUAUGGGUUGUAAACUUCUUUUGUCAGGGAGCAAAUGGCGCUACGCGUAUCGUUAUCGAGAGUACUUGCAGAAAAAGCACCGCCAAACUCCGUGCCAGCAGCCGCGGUAAUACGGGGGUUGCGAGGGUUAUCGGGUUUUAUGGGGUUAAAAGGGGGCUAAGGGGGGAUGCAAGGUCAGCGGGAAAAUCGCGGGCCUAAACCUCGCUCCGCCGUUGAUACUGGUGGUCUUGAGUGUGGGAGAGGUAUGCGGAAUGCGUGGUGUAGCGGUGAAAUGCGUAGAGAUCACGCAGAACACCGAUUGCGAAGGCAGCUUACCGGCCCACAACUGACGCUGAGGCACGAAAGCGUGGGGAGCAAACAGGAUUAGAUACCCUAGUAGUC
rnacentral:rRNA from 1 species